UACGGAGGGCGCAAGCGUUGUUCGGAAUUACUGGGCGUAAAGCGCGUGUAGGCGGCCAGGUAAGUCGGGUGUGAAAGCCCGGGGCCCAACCCCGGAACUGCACCCGAUACUGCUUGGCGGGAGUCCCGGAGAGGAUGGCGGAAUUUCCGGUGUAGAGGUGAAAUUCGUAGAUAUCGGAAGGAACACCAGUGGCGAAGGCGGCCAUCUGGACGGUGACUGACGCUGAGACGCGAAAGCGUGGGGAGCAAACAGG
rnacentral:rRNA from 1 species